GGUAGAUAUGUAUAGGGGUAAGGAGACAGGGAUUCUGGAGUGAUGGAGGUAGAUAUGUAUGUUAGGUGACAGAGAUACUGGAGUGAUGGAGGUAGAUAUGUAUAGAGGUAAGGGGACAGGGAUACUGGAGUGAUGGAGGUAGAUAUGUUUAGGGGUAAGGUGACAGGGAUACUGGAGUGAUGGAGGUAGAUAUGUAUAGGGGUAAGGAGACAGGGAUACUGGAGUGAUGGAGGUAGAUAUGUAUAGGGGUAAGGAGACAGGGAUUCUGGAGUGAUGGAGGUAGAUAUGUAUGUUAGGUGACAGAGAUACUGGAGUGAUGGAGGUAGAUAUGUAUAGAGGUAAGGGGACAGGGAUACUGGAGUGAUGGAGGUAGAUAUGUUUAGGGGUAAGGUGACAGGGAUACUGGAGUGAUGGAGGUAGAUAUGUAUAGGGGUAAGGUGACAGGGAUACUGGAGUGAUGGAGGUAGAUAUGUAUAGGGGUAAGGUGACAGGGAUACUGGAGUGAUGGAGGUAGAUAUGUAUAGGGGUAAGGUGACAGGGAUACUGGAGUGAUGGAGGUAGAUAGUGUAUGUAUAGCCGUAAGGUGACAGGGAUACUGGAGUGAUGGAGGUAGAUAUGUAUAGGGGUAAGGUGACAGGGAUACUGGAGUGAUGGAGGUAGAUAUGUAUAGGGGUAAGGUGACAGGGAUACUGGAGUGAUGGAGGUAGAUAUGUAUAGGGGUAAGGUGACAGGGAUACUGGAGUGAUGGAGGUAGAUAUGUAUAGCCGUAAGGUGACAGGGAUACUGGAGUGAUGGAGGUAGAUAUGAAUAGAGGUAAGGUGACUAGGCAACAAGAUAUAACAAACUGAGUAGCAGCAGCUUGUAUGUAAUAACAGCAGCUUGUAUGUAGAUGGAGUGAGUGAGUGUUAGAGUGACAGUGUUUGUGUGUUGGAGUGACAGUGUGUUAGUGUUGGGG
ensembl:lncRNA